ACGUAGUUGACUCCGUGGCUGAGAGAACGCUGGCGGCGUGCUUAACACAUGCAAGUCGAGCGAUGAGAUCACUUCGGUGAAGGAUUAGCGGCGAACGGGUGAGGAACACGUGAAGAAUCUGCCUUCAACUCUGGGAUAACUCCGGGAAACCGGGGCUAAUACCGGAUAUGAGCCUUGAUCGCAUGAUCGGGGCUGGAAAGUUUUUCGGUUGAAGAUGACUUCGCGGCCUAUCAGCUUGUUGGUGAGGUAAUGGCUCACCAAGGCGACGACGGGUAGCCGGCCUGAGAGGGCGACCGGCCACACUGGGACUGAGACACGGCCCAGACUCCUACGGGAGGCAGCAGUGGGGAAUAUUGGGCAAUGGACGAAAGUCUGACCCAGCGACGCCGCGUGCGAGAUGAAGGCCUUCGGGUUGUAAACCGCUUUCAGCAGGGAAUAAGCGCAAGUGAAGGUACCUGCAGAAGAAGCACCGGCUAACUAUGUG
rnacentral:rRNA from 1 species